AAUGUAUUAUUAUUUUUAGACAAAUAGUUUUAAUUUUAAAAGAAAACACUAUUAUAACUUUAGGACGUUUACAUUUUUAAAUUUCUAUCAAAGUUAUUAAAUAUGAACUUAUCGUCCAUUUUCAAGUUAGAUAAGAAUUUAUCUUGCUUGUUCUUUAUUUCUAGGUUUACUUUUUUCUAGUUCACUCUUUCAGUAAAUGGUUACUUGCAGAUUAAAUUUAUAGUAAAGAUAAUGCAUUUUACUUAUUAGAAGAAAUAAAAACAAAUUGUAUAUGAUUUAUAGAUAAUCGCGUAUUCAAAUAAUGUUAUGAUUAUAAAAAUAAUUACACAAUGUAUUUUGAGCUUUUUUUGAUAAACUAUAUUAUUGAGGUUAAAUAUUAUUCUCAAUUUUUAAAUUACAUCAAGUAUAUUAAAGUUAAUGGUUACUUAUAUAAUUUAAAUUAUAACUUUACAAUUUUAG